AGUGCAGUCCUGUCUCCCUCUGCUGGAAUCAUAGUAAAAAUUGUUUAAGGCAACCUUUUCUUCAUUUCCAAGCCUGCCUUUGAUUGAAAUCCAUAGGCUUCUAGGCUCAAAUACAGACUCACAAGAAGUCCCCAGGCUUCUUUUUGAUCAAAUUCGAUAUGCUUGUCAGGUUUCAGGGACGUCACUAGGGGCAGAUGUGGUGGUGAAAAAAGGAAAUGUUGUGAGAUCAAUUAGGCUUAAAGCCACGGUGGCAGUAAGAAGCCCUUCAUGGGGGCUGCUAGGAUGGAAGAGGUGUGUGGAAAUGGGGUCCCCUCAGCAUGUUGUCUGAGGACUGAAUACAAAAUGCAAGGACUUCUUUUGUUGUGCCCCCCAGCAAAUCCAACUGCCUUGGAAUAAUAAUAGUUUGCAAUUGAAUGGUGCUUUGGCAUUUACAAAACAUUUUCACAUCAGUGAUUUCAUUUGGCCCCAAGAACAAGCCCUUGAAGUAGGCAUAGCAGGUUACUACCUCCACUUCCUUGAGGAAGCACCUGAGGCCCAGAAACAUAAAGUCAUUUGCCCCAGGACACAUGAUUAAUAGAUAGGAAAACCUGUGCUUUUGAUCCCGGGCUUGGGCUUUUUUGUGAGCUCUGUCCUCUCCUGCCCCUUCCUGAAAUGGCUGAUCUGUAAAAUGAUUUUAUUUGUGACACAUUCUCCUUAUUUACCAUGUUGCCCAACAGGACAUUGUGAUGACAACUCAGAUCUUUUAGUUAAUUAAUUCCAGAUUCUUCCCUGCUAAUUAGAGGAGCUGAUUCAUUGGAAUGAAAUAGAGGCUUGGGGGGAUGACAAGAAUAAAUUCUUUGAAUGAGAAGCCACAUUAGAAACUGUCAACUCUUGAAGAAAAGAAAGAGUGUGAUUUAAUUUUGUGAUAAAAUACACAACACACUUAAAUUGAACUCAUGAGUAAAGAUACAAUAGGAAGAACAACAUAACACAAGUUGUGUGAUUUAAUGUAUUACUAUUUAACUUUUUUCAGCAUGUGAUUGUCUUGACUCACAGAGUAACUUUGAUUGCAUAUAAUUUCUUAAAAUAAGUUAAUAUAAAUUUCACUGUCUUUUAAUCUAUUGAAAAAUGAAAACAAAAUAAGCUUCAGAGUGUUUUCAUUCAUCUUCAUUUUUUUUUUUUUUUCAGAUUAUUUGGUUCUUUGCUUUAAGGGAAAGAGAAAACACGGGCUCUUUAUGAACCAGUGGAACUAAUUUUUGUGGACUUCUGCCUUGUGAGGCUUAGGGCUGGGCUUUCCCUAGGUUAUGCUUUCCCUAGGGGCUUCUGAAGUCACCAUGAAUCUUGCUCCAUAACCUGGGCCCAGGAGAACAUCCAGGGCAGCUUGGAUGUGACUAUAAAUCACAGGUUUGUGGGGAUUGCAGCUGAUCGUUGAUGGCAUGAACUUACCUUAGGCAUCUUUAAGAAUCAUGACUAUUUUAGGUGGGAUAGAUGUUGGGGCUCCUCUAAGUUAAUCUACCUCAUUUACCAACAGCGAACUCAUUCAGAUGGGUUAUUCAGUGUUGUUUGCUUUCCCCAAGUGGCUAUAAAGUUGUAGGAGCUUCUUGUUUUUUAUUAGUACCAUUUAGGUACAACUGGUAAUUUCCUGUCCCUUUCAGUCAAUGCUGGAGAUGGAGCCAGCCGAUCUCUAGUGAUGUGGUCUUUGGGGCUGUGACCUCUGCUUCUAACUGUUCUGUAGAAAAUGCUAAAGUUGGCAAUGCAGGUGGUUUUCUCAGUUGGUUCUUCUUGAGUUGAAUAUUCAGUAGUUUCUGGAGUUGCUGAGUGAAAUUUCACCUAAUUUAGAAUUUCCAUAGCUCAUGCUCUGAAACCUCAGUAAUCGGGACAUGCAACUUUUAGAAAACCAGAAUUAUUUUGCUUAAAAAAUGUUUUGCUUUCUGGUCAAUUUACAGGUGUUAACUAGUGGUCCCUAGUUGUUUUAAAAUAGAAAAGAAGGAAAUAGUGCUCUCUCCAUCCCCACGUGUCCCUACCCAGUCAUGCAAGGUACCUCUCCAGUCUGGUUACCAUAGCCUCUCAGGCAAAAGGAGGCAAAGCCUGAGGCACCAGAGAAGUCUGUAAGGAGCAAGGCCAAACUGUCCAGGCAGUGAGGACAGAGAUUGACCUUGGAUAUGGGAAUGCUUCCUUCUUAGCAAUCAAAGCCAAAGGGUAUUUCCCACCUCAGUUGAACACCAUGUUGCACGUCCUGGGAAAGACAGCCUCAUACAGGAGCUCAUGAGAUCUGCUCUAUCAGGUUGGCGGUUCUAGUUGUCCCAUAAAUACAAAGAUUGGUAUAGUGUGCACGAAGCAUAUGGCUUACCCAGCCAUCUCAUUACAAACCUCUAGAAGACCAAAAUGGAAAAUCAUUAACAUUUUAUGCAAAGUUUCAGCAUCUUCUGUUAUUUCUAAUGGGUAACACUCCAAAGAAUUUGAAGAUAGCACAAUCCUCCCACAAGUAAGCAAAGGCUGUGGAUGGAGAGAGUUACUAUAAUGUAGGGAUGCUACUCAGAGGUACGACAACAUCUUCUUAGAAAGACAGACAGCACAAUAGUAGCAGCUCAGACUUCAGCCAGUUCUGUCUGUGUUCAAAUCCCAGCUUGGCCAUUUAUACCUGCGUGGACUCUGGAAGGGAAACCUGUCCACGCCUCAAGUUCCUCAUUGUGAAACUGGAUGAUAGCAAUAAUACUUACUUCUUAAGGAGGUAAACAAGUUAAUAAAUGUAAAAUGCUUAGAAUCAUGCAUUACAUGGGUAAAAUGUUUGCAGUGGGCUAAAUGUUUGUGUCUGCCCCCAACCAAAUUCUAGGCUGAAACCCAAAUUCUCAAUGUAAUGGUAUUUGGAGGCAGGACCCUUUGGGAGGUGAUUAAGUCGUGAGGAUGGAAUCCUCACAGGUGGGAUUGAUGUCCUUAUAAGAAGAGACAUGAGAGAGAUGAUCUCUCUCUGCUUGCCUCCAAGUGAGGAUAUUGCUAACCAAGAAGAGAGCCUUCACCACACACUGAAUCAGCCAGGGCCUUGAUCUUGGACUCCCCAGCCUCCAGGACUAUGAGAAACAAGUGUUCAUUGUUUAAGCCACCCAGUUGAUGGUAUUGUGUUAUAGCAGCCUGAACAGACUAAGAUGAAGUUCUACAACAGUUGCUCAAGGGAAAACUGUGUGAAUUUAUCGUAGACAACAUCACCACUUUGCACUUAUACAGGACUUUAAGCUGACAAGUGCAUUCCCAUGCAUUCACUCAUUUGCUUCUCACAACUCUGUGAGUUAGGCAAGGUAGGAGUCAGCACCUCCAUUUUACACAUAAGGAAACAGAGUCCGGGAAUUUUCUCCACUGUAAAAUGGAGACAUCAACAGCCCACCAGGAGCAACUCAUCUACAAAUUGUAAACAUGAAUUUUCAAACCAAGCCUAUUUUCUUCAUUUGAUUGAAUAUUGGUAGAUAACUUUUAAAAACUGCAUGAACUUGUAUUUUUUUGCUUCAUCUUGGCAACUUCUUCCACAAAUUCUUCACUUGAACUUCACAAAGGGUCUAGUUGUAUAUUCACCACCCCUGAGCUUCGUUCACGAGUAACUAUCUUAGAUGAGCAUGUUUCUGUGCUAAGACAUGCACAACUCACAUAACACCUUCAGGAUUUUAUAAGAUUAAACGUACGCCUGACUUAGGUAUGACACCAAAAGCACAAUCAACCAAAGAAACAGCAGAUAAGCUGGACUUCACUGAAAUUUAAAAUUUUGCUGCUUCAACAGACACCAUCAAGAAAGUGAAAAGACAACCAACUGACUGGGAAAAAAUAUUUACAAAGCGUAUAUCUGAUAAGUAUCUGAUAAUUAUAUCUAGAAUACAUAAAGAACCCCUACAACCCAAUAAUUAAAGACAACCAAACUUAAAAAUGGGCAAUCCGAAUAGACAUUUCUCCAAAGAAAAUAUACAAACAGCCAAUAAGCUUAUGAGAAGAUGCUCAACAUCAUUAACAAUCAGGGAAAUGCAAAUCGAAACCACAAUGAGAUACCACUUCAUACCCAUUAGAGUGGCUAUAAUAAAAGACAGACAGUAGUAAGUGUUGAUGAAGAUUCAGAUAAAUUGGAAGCCUCAUCAAUUGCUUGUAGGAAUGUAAAAUGGUCCACACUUUAGCAAAUAGUCUGCUCCUCAAAAAGUUAAAUAUAGAGUUACCAUAUGACCCAGCAAUUCCACUCUUAGAUUUAUUCCCAGGAGAAAUGAAAAAAUAUGUCUACACAAAAACAUGUACACAAAUGUUCAUGGCAGCAUGAUUCAUAAUAGCCAAAAAUAAAAACAAACCAAAUAUCAUAAAUAACAUGUGGUAUAUUCAUACAAUGGAAUAUUAUUUGGCAAUUAAAAAGGAAUAAAGUAUUGAUACAUGCCACAACAUGAAUGAACCUUGAAAACUUACACAAUGUAAAAUAAAUCAGUCACAAAAGACCAUACAUUGCAUGAUUCCAUUUAUAUGAAGUGUACAGAACAGGCAAAUUUAUAGAAACAGAAAGUAAAUUAAUGGUUACUUAAGGCUAGGGGAGGGGAGGAAUGUGGAAAUUGGGGAUGAAAGGACAGGCAGUUUCUUUUUGGGGUGAUGAAAAUAUCCUAAAAUUCAUUGCAGUAAUGGUUACAUGACUCUGUGAAUAUAUUAAAAAUCAUUGAAUUGUACACUUUAGAUAAGCAAAUUGUAUGGCAUGUGAAUUAUAUGUCAAUAAAAUGCUUUCUUAAAAAAAAUUCACUGACCUAGUUAAUACCUAAUAAUUCUGCUCCUGGGUACGUGCUAGGAGAAAUAGGAGCAUAUGUUUACACAAACUCUUGUACACAAAUAUCUGUAGA
rnacentral:lncRNA from 1 species